rnacentral:rRNA from 1 species
CCUACGGGUGGCAGCAGUGAGGAAUAUUGGUCAAUGGACGAGAGUCUGAACCAGCCACGUCGCGUGAAGGAUGACUGCCCUAUGGGUUGUAAACUUCUUUUAUAAAGGAAUAAAACGAGGCACGUGUGCCUUUUUGCAUGUACUUUAUGAAUAAGGAUCGGCUAACUCCGUGCCAGCAGCCGCGGUAAUACGGAGGCUCCGAGCGUUAUCCGGAUUUGUUGGGAUUAAAGGGAGCGUAGAUGGGUUGUUAAGUCAGUUGUGAAAGUGUGCGGCUCAACCGUAAGAUUGCAAUUGAUACUGGCAGUCUUGAGUACAGUUGAGGGAGGCGGAAUUCGUGGUGUAGCAGUGAAAUGCUUAGAUAUCACGAAGAACCCCGAUUGCGAAGGCAGCUUACUAAACUGUGACUGACAUUGAUGCACGAAAGUGUGGGUAGCAAACAGGAGUAGAUACCCGAGUAGUC